UUCCUGAUGUCAGUCGUGAUUACCCGCUGAACUUAAGCAUAUCAUUUAGCGGAGGAAAAGAAACUAACUAGGAUUCCCUUAGUAACGGCGAGUGAAAAAGGGC
rnacentral:rRNA from 1 species